rnacentral:rRNA from 1 species
GUCCACACAGUAAACGAUGAAUACUCGCUGUUUGCGAUAUACAGUAAGCGGCCAAGCGAAAGCAUUAAGUAUUCCACCUGGGGAGUACGCCGGCAACGGUGAAACUCAAAGGAAUUGACGGGGGCCCGCACAAGCGGAGGAACAUGUGGUUUAAUUCGAUGAUACGCGAGGAACCUUACCCGGGCUUGAAUUGCAGAGGAACAUAGUUGAAAGAUUAUGGCCGCAAGGUCUCUGUGAAGGUGCUGCAUGGUUGUCGU